AAUUUUGGACAAUGGGGGCAACCCUGAUCCAGCCAUCCCGCGUGUGCGAUGAAGGCCUUCGGGUUUUAAAGCACUUUUGGCAGUGAAGAAAAGGCUCUGGUUAAUACCUGGAGAUGCUGACGGUACUUCCAGAAUAAGCCCUGGCUCACUACGUGCCAGCAGCAGCGGUAAUACGUAGGGUGCAAGCGUUAAUCGGAAUUACUGGGCGUAAAGGGUGCGCAGGCGGUUUGGCAAGAAGGAUGUGAAAUCCCGGGGCUUAACCUCGGAACUGCUUUCUUAACUGCCAGGCUAGAGUAUGUCAGAGGGGGGUAGAAUUCCGCGUGUGGCAGUGAAAUGCGUAGAGAUGCGGAGGAAUACCGAUGGCGAAGGCAGCCCCCUGGGAUAAUACUGACGCUCAGGCACGAAAGCGUGGGGAGCAAACA
rnacentral:rRNA from 1 species